UCCAGACUCCUACGGGAGGCAGCAGUGGGGAAUAUUGCACAAUGGGGGAAACCCUGAUGCAGCGACGCCGCGUGAGCGAAGAAGUAUUUCGGUGUGUAAAGCUCUAUCAGCAGGGAAGAAAUUGACGGUACCUGAGUAAGAAGCUCCGGCUAAAUACGUGCCAGCAGCCGCGGUAAUACGUAUGGAGCAAGCGUUAUCCGGAUUUACUGGGUGUAAAGGGAGCGUAGGCGGCCUGCCAAGUCUGAUGUGAAAUACCGGGGCUCAACCCCGGGGCUGCAUUGGAAACUGGCGGGCUGGAGUGCCGGAGAGGUAAGCGGAAUUCCUGGUGUAGCGGUGAAAUGCGUAGAUAUCAGGAGGAACACCGGCGGCGAAGGCGGCCUGCUGGACCGUGACUGACGUUGAGGCUCGAGAGCGUGGGGAGCAAACAGGAUUAGAUACCCGUGUA
rnacentral:rRNA from 1 species